rnacentral:tRNA from 1 species
GGGAAUAGCUCAGUUGGUAGAGCACGACCUUGCCAAGGUCGGGGUCGCGAGUUGCUUUGGCUCG